GAUGAAGACGUAGCGAAAUGCGAUAAGUAGUGUGAAUUGCAGAAUUCAGUGAAUCAUCGAAUCUUUGAACGCACAUUGCGCCCCUUGGUAUUCCAUGGGGCAUGCCUGUUCGAGCGUCAUUUGUACCCUCAAGCUUUGCUUGGUGUUGGGUGUUUGUCCUCUCCUUUGCGUUUGGACUCGCCUUAAAGCAAUUGGCAGCCAGUGUUUUGGUAUUGAAGCGCAGCACAUUUUGCGAUUCUAGCCGAUAAUACUUGCGUCCAUAAGCCUUUUUUAACUUUUGACCUCGGAUCAGGUAGGGAUACCCGCUGAACUUAAGCAUAUCAAUAAGCGGAGGA
rnacentral:misc_RNA from 1 species